rnacentral:rRNA from 1 species
AAAGCAUAUAGUGGAUGCCUCGACUCCAAACUCCGAUGAAGGACGUAUCUAACUGCGAUAAGCUUCGGCGAGUUGUUAAGAAAACUUUGACCCGGAGAUUUCCCAAUGGGUGAACCCACAAGAAGUCAUGUUCUUGUACGGUAUACUAAAAACAUAGGUAUAUCGAGGAUACUUAGCGAACUGAAACAUCUUAGUAGCUAAGGAAAAGAAAUCAAACGAGAUUCCCUUAGUAGUGGCGAGCGAACAGGGAAUAGCCCAAACCAUGUCUUACGAGACAUGGGGUUGUAGGACCUCAAUAUGAAAACUAUUUCUAUUAACCAAAGCGUCUGGAAAGUCGCACCAUAGAGGGUAAUAGUCCCGUCGGUGAAAAUAGGGUAGAAUUCUAGAGUGUUCCUGAGUAGGGUCGGACACGUGUAAUCCGGCUUGAAUCUGGGAGGACCACCUUCCAAGGCUAAAUAGGUUUGGAGAUCUAUAGUGAACAAGUACCGUGAGGGAAAGGUGAAAAGCACCCCGAGAGGGGGAUGAAAUAGUACCUGAAACUGUAUGCUUAUAAGGAGUAGGAGCCCUUCGGGGUGACUGCGUACUUUUUGUAGAACGGGCCAACGAGUUAGCUGUAUGGCGCUUGGUUAAGGGAGUAAUACCCGAAGCCAUAGUGAAAGCGAGGGUGAAUAACCCGUCUGUGUCAUGCACUAGACCCGAAACUGAGUGAGCUAUCCAUGGUCAGGUUGAAGCGUGAGUAAAAUCACGUGGAGGACCGCACCGACCUCUGCUGCAAAAGGGGCGGAUGAAUUGUGGAUAGGGGUGAAAAGCCAAACGAACUCAGAGAUAGCUGGUUCUCCUCGAAAUAGCUUUAGGGCUAGCCUUAUGUUAAUAGCGUUAGGGGUAGAGCUCUGUUUAGGCUAGGGGGCGAAAUAAGUCUACCAAACCUAGAUAAACUUCGAAUACUAACGUGAAUUUCAUAGGAGUUAGACUAUGACAGCUAAGUGCCAUAGUCGAAAGGGAAACAGCCCAGAUCACCAUCUAAGGUCCCUAAUAAAGCUUAAGUGGUAAAGGAUGUAGAAUUGCGUAUACAACCAGGAGGUUGGCUUAGAAGCAGCCAUUCCUUUAAAGAGUGCGUAACAGCUCACUGGUCUAUGCGAUUCUGCGCCGAAAAUAUAACGGGGCUUAAAGCUUUAACCGAAGAUGUGAGUGGCUCAUUUAUUUGAGUCGCGGUAGAGGAGCGUUCCUGUCAGCGUCGAAGCAGAACUGUGAAGUUCUGUGGAGCGUCAGGAAGUGAAAAUGUUGGCAUAAGUAACGAUAUUGUGGUGAAAAACCUCAACACCGAAUACCCAAGGUUUCCCAAGCAAUGUUAAUCAGCUUGGGGUUAGUCGGGCCUAAGGCGAGGCCGAAAGGCGUAGUCGAUGGACAACAGGUUAAUAUUCCUGUACAACUUAAGUUUCGUCAGAGCAAGACUGGAGGGAAAUUUAAUUCAAAUUUUGAAGGCCUCGGCUGGAUAGAUGAGAGUUUUAUGGACCGAAAGUGGCGCUAGCUCAGGGGUAACGCGGUUGGAUAGCUAGAGCGUGUUAAUGAAUUCACGUACAAGCUGUUAGUUUAUGCUCUUCGAGGUAAAUCCCUUAGAGUUUACGAGCAGUGAUGUAAAAUACUUUGCCUUUGGUAGAGUGAUUCUGGCGAUUUCAGCUGACGAGAAAAACCUCGGUAGCGAGAAACUUAGGUUUCCGUACCCAAAACCAACGCAGGUGGGUAGGUCGAGUAGACCAAGGUGAUCGAGAUAACUACUGCUAAGGAACUCGGCAAAACAGCAGGUGUAACUUCGGGAUAAACCUUGCCGGCUCUUUUUUCUUUAUGUGAAAAGUGUCCGGCCGCAGCUAAUGAUUCCACGCAACUGUUUACCAAAAACACAGGUCUCUGCUAAGUCGAAAGACUAUGUAUAGGGGCUGACGCCUGCCCAGUGCCAGAAGGUUACGAGGAUGGGUUCACGCCUUGAAUUUAAGCCCUGGUGAACGGCGGCCGUAACUAUAACGGUCCUAAGGUAGCGAAAUUCCUUGUCGGGUAAGUUCCGACCCGCACGAAUGGGGUAACGGUCUGAAGACUGUCUCAAGCAUAGACUCGGUGAAAUUGCAAUAUCGGUAAAAAUGCCGAUUAAACGCAGAAAGACGAAAAGACCCCGUGCAGCUUUACUAUAGCUUGGUAUUGAGUCGAGGUAUGAUUUGUGCAGAAUAGGUGGGAGACUUUGAUCCGUAAACGCAAGUUUGCGGUUAGUCAUCUUUGAGAUACCACCCUUGUCAUGCUUUGGCUCUAACUUGGAUACAAACCGAGGACAGUGCUUGGUGGGUAGUUUAACUGGGGCGGUUGCCUCCUAAAGAGUAACGGAGGCGCGCAAUGGUUCUCUAGGUCUGGAUGGAAAUCAGAUCGAUAGUGUAAACGCAUAAGAGAGCUUAACUGCAAGACCUACAAGUCGAGCAGAUGCGAAAGCAGGUGUUAGUGAUCCGAUAGUGGCAUGUGGGUGCGCUAUCGCUCAACGGAUAAAAGUUACGCCGGGGAUAACAGGCUUAUAGAUUCCAAGAGUUCAUAUCGACGAAUCUGUUUGGCACCUCGAUGUCGGCUCGUCCUAUCCUGGGGCUGGAGAAGGUCCCAAGGGUUUGGCUGUUCGCCAAUUAAAAGGGUACGCGAGCUGGGUUCAGAACGUCGUGAGACAGUUCGGUCCUUAUCUUCCAUGAUCGUAGGAUUUUUGAGGGAAGCUGCUCCUAGUACGAGAGGACCGGAGUGGACGAACCUCUAGUGUAUCUGUUGUCGCGUCAGCGGCAUUGCAGAGUAGCUAUGUUCGGGUGGAUAACCGCUGAAAGCAUCUAAGUGGGAAGCCAUGCCCAAGAUUAGAAAUCCCUAUAAGCUCCCUGAAGAUUACAGGGUUGAUAGGUCACAGAUGUACGCACGGCGACGUGUUUAGUCGAGUGAUACUAAUAGCUAAUUGAACUUAUU